rnacentral:rRNA from 1 species
UUUGGUUAAGUUAGAAAGGGCGCACGGUGGAUGCCUUGACACUAGGAGUCGAUGAAGGACGGGACUAACGCCGAUAUGCUUCGGGGAGCUGUAAGUAAGCUUUGAUCCGAAGAUUUCCAAAUGGGGAAACCCACCAUACGUAAUGGUAUGGUAUCCUUAUCUGAAUACAUAGGGUAAGGAAGACAGACCCAGGGAACUGAAACAUCUAAGUACCUGGAGGAAGAGAAAGCAAAUGCGAUUUCCUGAGUAGCGGCGAGCGAAACGGAACAUAGCCCAAACCAAGAGGCUUGCCUCUUGGGGUUGUAGGACAUUCUAUACGGAGUUACAAAGGAACGAGGUAGACGAAGCGACCUGGAAAGGUCCGUCGUAGAGGGUAACAACCCCGUAGUCGAAACUUCGUUCUCUCUUGAAUGUAUCCUGAGUACGGCGGAACACGUGAAAUUCCGUCGGAAUCUGGGAGGACCAUCUCCCAAGGCUAAAUACUCCCUAGUGAUCGAUAGUGAACCAGUACCGUGAGGGAAAGGUGAAAAGCACCCCGGAAGGGGAGUGAAAGAGAUCCUGAAACCGUGUGCCUACAAAUAGUCAGAGCCCGUUAACGGGUGAUGGCGUGCCUUUUGUAGAAUGAACCGGCGAGUUACGAUCCCGUGCGAGGUUAAGCUGAAGAGGCGGAGCCGCAGCGAAAGCGAGUCUGAAUAGGGCGUUUAGUACGUGGUCGUAGACCCGAAACCAGGUGAUCUACCCAUGUCCAGGGUGAAGUUCAGGUAACACUGAAUGGAGGCCCGAACCCACGCACGUUGAAAAGUGCGGGGAUGAGGUGUGGGUAGCGGAGAAAUUCCAAUCGAACCUGGAGAUAGCUGGUUCUCCCCGAAAUAGCUUUAGGGCUAGCCUUAAGUGUAAGAGUCUUGGAGGUAGAGCACUGAUUGGACUAGGGGUCCUCAUCGGAUUACCGAAUUCAGUCAAACUCCGAAUGCCAAUGACUUAUCCUUAGGAGUCAGACUGCGAGUGAUAAGAUCCGUAGUCAAAAGGGAAACAGCCCAGACCGCCAGCUAAGGUCCCAAAGUGUGUAUUAAGUGGAAAAGGAUGUGGAGUUGCUUAGACAACUAGGAUGUUGGCUUAGAAGCAGCCACCAUUUAAAGAGUGCGUAAUAGCUCACUAGUCGAGUGACUCUGCGCCGAAAAUGUACCGGGGCUAAAUACACCACCGAAGCUGCGGAUUGAUACCAAUGGUAUCAGUGGUAGGGGAGCGUUCUAAGGACAGUGAAGUCAGACCGGAAGGACUGGUGGAGUGCUUAGAAGUGAGAAUGCCGGUAUGAGUAGCGAAAGACGGGUGAGAAUCCCGUCCACCGAAUGCCUAAGGUUUCCUGAGGAAGGCUCGUCCGCUCAGGGUUAGUCAGGACCUAAGCCGAGGCCGACAGGCGUAGGCGAUGGACAACAGGUUGAUAUUCCUGUACCACCUCUUUAUCGUUUGAGCAAUGGAGGGACGCAGAAGGAUAGAAGAAGCGUGCGAUUGGUUGUGCACGUCCAAGCAGUUAGGCUGAUAAGUAGGCAAAUCCGCUUAUCGUGAAGGCUGAGCUGUGAUGGGGAAGCUCCUUAUGGAGCGAAGUCUUUGAUUCCCCGCUGCCAAGAAAAGCUUCUAGCGAGAUAAAAGGUGCCUGUACCGCAAACCGACACAGGUAGGCGAGGAGAGAAUCCUAAGGUGUGCGAGAGAACUCUGGUUAAGGAACUCGGCAAAAUGACCCCGUAACUUCGGGAGAAGGGGUGCUUUCUUAACGGAAAGCCGCAGUGAAUAGGCCCAAGCGACUGUUUAGCAAAAACACAGCUCUCUGCGAAGCCGUAAGGCGAAGUAUAGGGGGUGACACCUGCCCGGUGCUGGAAGGUUAAGGAGAGGGGUUAGCGUAAGCGAAGCUCUGAACUGAAGCCCCAGUAAACGGCGGCCGUAACUAUAACGGUCCUAAGGUAGCGAAAUUCCUUGUCGGGUAAGUUCCGACCCGCACGAAAGGUGUAACGAUUUGGGCACUGUCUCAACCAGAGACUCGGUGAAAUUAUAGUACCUGUGAAGAUGCAGGUUACCCGCGACAGGACGGAAAGACCCCGUGGAGCUUUACUGUAGCCUGAUAUUGAAUUUUGGUACAGUUUGUACAGGAUAGGCGGGAGCCUUUGAAACCGGAGCGCUAGCUUCGGUGGAGGCGCUGGUGGGAUACCGCCCUGACUGUAUUGAAAUUCUAACCUACGGGUCUUAUCGACCCGGGAGACAGUGUCAGGUGGGCAGUUUGACUGGGGCGGUCGCCUCCUAAAGUGUAACGGAGGCGCCCAAAGGUUCCCUCAGAAUGGUUGGAAAUCAUUCGUAGAGUGCAAAGGCAUAAGGGAGCUUGACUGCGAGACCUACAAGUCGAGCAGGGACGAAAGUCGGGCUUAGUGAUCCGGUGGUUCCGCAUGGAAGGGCCAUCGCUCAACGGAUAAAAGCUACCCCGGGGAUAACAGGCUUAUCUCCCCCAAGAGUCCACAUCGACGGGGAGGUUUGGCACCUCGAUGUCGGCUCAUCGCAUCCUGGGGCUGUAGUCGGUCCCAAGGGUUGGGCUGUUCGCCCAUUAAAGCGGUACGCGAGCUGGGUUCAGAACGUCGUGAGACAGUUCGGUCCCUAUCCGUCGUGGGCGUAGGAAAUUUGAGAGGAGCUGUCCUUAGUACGAGAGGACCGGGAUGGACGCACCGCUGGUGUACCAGUUGUUCUGCCAAGGGCAUAGCUGGGUAGCUAUGUGCGGAAGGGAUAAGUGCUGAAAGCAUCUAAGCAUGAAGCCCCCCUCAAGAUGAGAUUUCCCAUAGCGUAAGCUAGUAAGAUCCCUGAAAGAUGAUCAGGUUGAUAGGUUCGAGGUGGAAGCAUGGUGACAUGUGGAGCUGACGAAUACUAAUAGAUCGAGGACUUAACCAUAUAA